rnacentral:tRNA from 1 species
GGAGAAAUGGCAGAGCGGUCGAAUGCACCGGUCUUGAAAACCGGCGUACCGAGAGGUACCGGGGGUUCGAAUCCCUCUUUCUCCGCAA